GGUGGUGCUGGAGGGUGGGAAGGCAGGAGCGCGAGGCCUGGCCCGGAAGCUAGGUGAGUUCGGCAUCCGAGCUGAGGGACCCUAGUCUAAGACGCCGCUGCUACCCAGUCUGAGUAUCUGGUCUCCGUCCCUAAUGGGAUUCUCGUCCAAACCGUCUGGAGCCUGCAGCGAUCCAGUCUCUGGCCCUCGACCAGGUUCACUGCAGCUGUCUAGAGGUCCCCAGGAGCAGCUGCGGGCGAGCCCGCUUCUGCAGGAACCUAUGGAGCCAUUCCGUAGUGCCAUUCCGAGCGACGCACUGCCGCAGCUUCUCUGAGCCUUUCCAGCAAGUUUGUUCAAGAUUGGCUCCCAAGAAUCAUGGACUGUUAUUAUAUGCCUUGUUUUCUGUCAAGACACCAUGAUUCCUGGUAACCGAAUGCUGAUGGUCGUUUUAUUAUGCCAAGUCCUGCUAGGAGGCGCGAGCCAUGCUAGUUUGAUACCUGAGACCGGGAAGAAAAAAGUCGCCGAGAUUCAGGGCCACGCGGGAGGACGCCGCUCAGGGCAGAGCCAUGAGCUCCUGCGGGACUUCGAGGCGACACUUCUGCAGAUGUUUGGGCUGCGCCGC
rnacentral:lncRNA from 1 species